AGAUUGAACGCUGGCGGCAGGCCUAACACAUGCAAGUCGAGCGCGAAAGCACUUCGGUGCGAGUAGAGCGGCGGACGGGUGAGUAACGCGUAGGAAUCUACCCAGUAGUGGGGGACAACAGUCGGAAACGGCUGCUAAUACCGCAUACGCCCCAUGGGGGAAAGCGGGGGAUCUUCGGACCUCGCGCUAUUGGAUGAGCCUGCGUAGGAUUAGCUAGUUGGUGGGGUAAAGGCCCACCAAGGCGACGAUCCUUAGCUGGUCUGAGAGGAUGAUCAGUCACACUGGAACUGAGACACGGUCCAGACUCCUACGGGAGGCAGCAGUGGGGAAUAUUGCGCAAUGGGGGAAACCCUGACGCAGCCAUGCCGCGUGUGUGAAGAAGGCCCUAGGGUUGUAAAGCACUUUCAAUUGGGAAGAAAAGCUUGUCGUUAAUAACGGCAAGCCCUGACAUUACCUUUAGAAGAAGCACCGGCUAACUCCGUGCCAGCAGCCGCGGUAAUACGGAGGGUGCGAGCGUUAAUCGGAAUUACUGGGCGUAAAGCGCGCGUAGGCGGUUGUUUAAGUCGGAUGUGAAAGCCCUGGGCUCAACCUGGGAACUGCAUUCGAUACUGGGCAACUAGAGUACGAGAGAGGGAGGUAGAAUUCCAUGUGUAGCGGUGAAAUGCGUAGAUAUGUGGAGGAAUACCAGUGGCGAAGGCGGCCUCCUGGCUCGAUACUGACGCUGAGGUGCGAAAGCGUGGGGAGCAAACAGGAUUAGAUACCCUGGUAGUCCACGCCGUAAACGAUGUCUACUAGCCGUUGGGAGACUUGAUUUCUUAGUGGCGCAGCUAACGCACUAAGUAGACCGCCUGGGGAGUACGGCCGCAAGGUUA
rnacentral:rRNA from 1 species